rnacentral:misc_RNA from 1 species
AAGUCGUAACAAGGUUUCCGUAGGUGAACCUGCGGAAGGAUCAUCAGUGUAUCUGGUUAUCUCACCCUUUGUGCCGUGUCCUUGCGGUGGGUUCGCCGCAUGUUUUUUUGCAACGCCUGAGCCUGAUCUGUCGAUUUUAAGAACACACACACACAACUUUUAACAACGGAUCUCUUGGUUCUC